CAGAGUUCGUGCCCUCACGGGUAGACCUCCCACCCUUGAAUACUUAUACCUUUGUUGCUUUGGCGGGCCGCCUCGGCUACCGGCUCUGGCUGGUAAGUGCCUGCCAAAGGACCCCAAAACUCUGAAUAUUAGUGUCGUCUGAGUACUAUAUAAUAGUUA
rnacentral:misc_RNA from 1 species